CUCAACUUUUCAACAAAAAGCUUAUUGUAAAAUAGUUGUUUAUGAAUGUCAUUUGGCACUAUACUGUCAAUGUUGUGCUGCAUAAAAUGCUCUAAUAAAGAGUGAUUCAUGGUUGCUUGGUAGUAAAUCCUCAAUAAAUAUUUUAAUGUUUAACUGUGUGAGUUUAUAUCAAAUAUUUCAUAAUAAUGUAUACAGAUUUGUCUGUGUUAAGAUUUUAUGGCGAUAACACAUCUAGUUGACCUAUUCUUCAUCUGAUUAUAUGGUUAUGUUUAUUCCUUGAUAUCAUCUUGGAUUAUAUGAGGUACAUUUGUUGAAAAAAAUCGUGCUCUCGAUUUUCAUAGAGCACGAACGGAAAAGUGCGACUUUAACUACAGAAUUACUUAACUGAUAUGCUGCACUUAGUUUUUUCCCAAUUUUCCAAAACAAGCAAACUGACUAGAUAUCCAUUUAGAUAUAUGAUUCAAGUAAUCCCUUUAGUUAUAAUCAAAGUGGGAUUGCUCUGAACAUGAUCUGUAUUCAACAACUAUUUUAACAAUUGCAAAUACAGAAUAGAACCAAAAACACAAUGUGCGGUUGACCUGGUACUAUUUUUCUUGUACUGAAAACCUUCGCGAUGAAUUUUCUUCUAGUGGUGUUAGUUAAAAACAAAGUUGCAAUCACAUGAUUCCAAUAAGAUGAGCCAUGUUUUGCUCAUUCGAGUCAUAUGUCUGGUUUAUGUGUUUGUGCUUUUUGGAAUGACUGGGCUCUUGGUCACUCGUCAUUUAUAAUUCCUUACAUAUUUAUACAAUCAGCUAAGGUCGAAAGCCAAAGGGCGAAAUUUGUUUGAAUUCGAAUGAUUCACCGGAUGGUUGAAUAUAAACGACAGCAUGUCUUUUAAGCAAUAGUAGAGCUAGAAAUUGAAUACGAGCUAGACUUUAACUUUUCGGCUACUAUCAUUAAAAGUUUGCAAAGUAUAUUAAUGACGCAACCAUGAAUGAGUCUUUCAAACAGAGAACGUCAUAAAGAGUCGCCACAAUAUUAUGUAGUUGAUCUGUUGGUUGCGUCUUUGAAUAUAUUGACCUUUCUCGAACAGCUUACGCUUUAUCUCAGUGAAACUGUUGGAAAUCAACAGUAAAACCGGAAAUUUCAUAAAUAUGUUUUAUCAAUAUUGCGAGAUUGAAUGCCAGUUAUAAAAAAAUACGUAUUGGAGUUAUACAUUUAUCAUUUAUGUACACACGUUGGUUGUAAUGUUAUUAUUUAAUUUUAACAAACACGAAAUUUAUGCUUUUAUUAUGAAACACUGAUACGAUUGUAAAUACUCUUUAAAUCAUCAAAUAUAAAAUAUUUAAUAUCCAAUAAAAACUACGUCGUUAUCUUACUCGCAUCUCUUUUAUGUAAGACAUUAAACAGUAUGAAUUAUUCAAGAUAUCGCAUUAAGAAACAAUUAAUAAUAAUUUACUGAGUUAAGUUAUUUAAGUUAAUAAAGUUUUCAAUGAAGGUUCAUAGAUGGAAUUAUUGUAAGCGAAACGCGUUUUUGUUAUUUAAAAACAGUUUUACAGGUUUGUGUUGUAAAUUAUUUUCUAAAAAUGACUUUUCGGUUGUAUUAUUAUAAUUCCUGUUGGUAUAACAUGCCUUGGAGAUCAAUUGCCUGUAUGAAUUUCAUUUCAUGACGAUCGAUUUUCUUCCGAGAUCGAACGAUAAGACAUACAAUAUUCAUUUUGACAUAAUAAUUAUCCAAGUAAUUAUAUUUGGAAACAAAAGCCGCAUGCUUGUAAUUAUUCCAAUAGGGUGGAUAAAGUGUUAAACUUC